rnacentral:rRNA from 1 species
AAUUUUGGACAAUGGGGGAAACCUUGAUCCAGCCAUGCCGCGUGUGUGAAGAAGGUCUUCGGAUUUUAAAGCACUUUAAGUUGGGAGGAAGGGCAUUAAGUUAAUACCUUGCUGUUUUGACGUUACCGACAGAAUAAGCACCGGCUAACUGCGUGCCAGCAGCCGCGGUAAUACGAAGGGUGAAAGCGUUAAUCGGAAUUACUGGGCGUAAAGCGCGCGUAGGUGGUUUGUUAAGUUGGAAGUGAAAGCCCCGGGCUCAACCUGGGAACUGCUUUCAAAACUGGCAAGCUAGAGUAUGGCAGAGGGUGGUGGAAUUUCCUGUGUAGCGGUGAAAUGCGUAGAUAUAGGAAGGAACACCAGUGGCGAAGGCGACUACCUGGACUGAUACUGACACUGAGGUGCGAAAGCGUGGGGAGCAAACAGG